GGCAGAGCAGGGGCGCGUUGGGGGGGCGCUGUGCCCUGGGCAGAGCUAGUGAGAGGCGGCGGGUGUCAGGGCGGGGGCCUGGCGGGGAUUGAUCAGACCCUUCCUCAGCCGGGGAGGGGGUGUCAGAGGCGGGGCUGGGGGCACGGCAGGGGUCUGCUUGGAGCUAACGCACAGGCCCCUUCAUCCUGGGGAACAGCAGGCCACUAGCAUGUAGAAGGGCAGCCACCCCCAUGGGUUAGGUGAAUGCUCCUUUCCACAGAGAGGGCAGCCGCCCCGCGGGACCAGCGGACAAGCUGCAGCGAGCUGCUUUUUCUUUCACUCGAAAGUUAUAAAUCCCACCUCCUUAGCAGCUGCCCUUAGUGACGGAGGAUGCAGGGUCGCUCCACGCCCUCCAUCCUCCACUUACAGUCCUUUGGCCCUAGGACAGAUGGGCACAGCCUAUCAUCCUGUAGUCAGAAGCAAAGGUUGCUAAAGAUGGGCUACUGCAUUACUGUUGAUUACAGGCAUUUAGCCCCAUCUUCUGCACUGCCACUAGUCCCAGCUGGAGACGGGCACUGAAUGGAGCAGACUGUUGGGGUGAAGCUAUACAGCAGCUCCUUGGGGGGAGCUAGGCGCAGAGUCACAAACGGAGCGAGGCGCCUAACUCCUGUGGGUUUGGAUUGGAGCUGGGAAUCUGACUCCAUUUGUUCACCUGGCCCUUUGAGAGCAGCAUCUUUGGUCCGGUAGUUAGGGAUGUAUCAGGCCCCAUAGCACAAAGUUAGCCUCAGGCUGUUGGGUUUCAUUCCUGGGCUGUGGUACUGCACCCCGGGGCAUCAGUGAAGCAGUGCAGAGGAAGAACCCUCCACGGGGCCCAGGACCCUUCUGCGAGCUGUCUGCAAGCCCCAGCUUCUGCUCCUUGAGCACCUUCUAGCAGCAUCUCCCCCAGGGAAGAAGGGGCCCCACCCAGCAUGGUUCAGUUCUCUUCCUGCUGCAACACGGCUGCCCAAACAGGAGGGAGGAAGAGCCCCGGGGAAAGUCCUGUACAGCAUUUGGCCCACAUUCACAAAGGGAGACAGCGGGGGGCUGCUGGUUUGCCAAGAUGAACUCACCUGACGCCUAGAGGGUAUCGUGAGCUGGAGCACGGGGUGUGCUGAACCCAACUACUCUGGGGUUUACACCAAGGUGGCUGAAUUCCUGGACUGGAUUUAUCAGAUCAUCGAGGUGAGCGGACGGCAAAGGGCCCCUUGCAGCUGAAUUCUCCCCCACUGAGGUAAAGAGUUUAAUCCGAGCCUUGUUCCAGAACACAGAGAGGAGAGCAGCGGCCCUUGCGAAAAUAAAAUAGCCUUGUGUUUACUCCUGUGCAAUAGACCUUUUCCUGGGAAAGAAACAGUAAAUCAGGUUUCAAACUCUUAUUUGGAUUUAACCCUUUUUCCUAAUCAGUUUAGCUUCAUGAAAGCACUUCCUAAAGGCCUGGCCAAUGGG